UUAUAUCAUAUUUAAUAGGGGAGGAAAAGUAACAAGAAAGAGUAUCCCCAUGGGAGUGUGAAUCUCACUCCUCAUUCCAAAAAUAAGUGAGACUCAUAGAGUUGGACUCCCCUCCCUUCCUUCAAUAAGUAGGAUCUCUCUAUAUUACGUUUAACGUAACAUACACCCACACACAACACUGGCCCAAUGAAUAAGUAAACAUUGAAAUUAUAAAAAUCUACACUCUCCAAUCCCACUCCACUGAGUAAACAUGGCACUAAAGCCUUCUUAUUCUCUGACUUCUGCUAGAUUCACCACCAGUAUACUAAUAAUUGCAAUCGUUGCAACAGAUGAGGCCCAUAUCUUUAUGUUGGAGGCUCCCAUGAUUCUUGAUCUCUGCUAAUAAUAAUAUUGUACCUUUUUUUAAAAAAAAAGAAAGGCCAAUAGGAUAUAUAUAAUUAGCUUAGGGUUUUGAAUGUUUUGCUCUAAAUUUAAUGCAUUAGCUUUGAAUAUGGUACCAACGUAAUCGUUUCACAUUUCUAAUUGUAUUUCGUUGUACGUACGGGAAUUGGUCCACAUACGCCCUGUUGAAUUUUGAUUACCACAACAUUAUUGACUCAAUUUUCCACGAAAAAUUUGCUACAUAGGCGUAGCAAAUUACUAAUUUAAUAUCUGAUAAUUACAUCAAUCCGGUUGUGCAAGAAUUUUCAAGAAGAAUUUUAAGGAAGUCACAAAUUUAUUAUGCCUUGCUAAUUAAGUACAUGGAAUAUGAUUUAUUAUCACCAGCAACCUAUACCGUGCCUUACGGUUAAAAAAAAUUCCAAUGAAUAUAAAAGUCCUAAUUAAAAUUUAUCUCUUCUUUUUUUAAUUAAAAAAUCACCCUCCCUCUAAUAAAUUGGCGUUCCUGUUUUUCAAAGCAAUCACCAACCAUAUGGAUAACUGAGACCCAAAUAGUUGCGUGAGCUUAUCAAUUUUUAUUUCUCAGUUUCCAAUUUUUUUCCCACGGGAGCCACGUACCAAAACGGCAAAACGGUACCUUAUCUCUGCCAUUUCCUUAUCGUGGGACCCUCCACAUUUUUAAUUUUUGUAAAGCAAGCCUACCUGCCACGUGCUCUAAUCCUCAAAUAUUCAUAUCAUAUUUGAUUUAAGGUGAAAAAAUAAAUUUACGCUUUUUAUCUCAAAUAAUUGUUGUAAAUGAAUCAUUAUUUGAAAAUCUAUUAAAAUAUUAUGUCAGCCUUAU
rnacentral:lncRNA from 1 species